CUCUUCCUUUCCUUCUCUCUCUCUCAGUGUGUCUAACCAUAUCUUUGGGCAUUGCAUUGAGAGGGCUCCCUAUAGCUGCUGUACCUUCCUAUUAUUGACACAAUCAAAUAAUCUGCAUAGUAAGGAUAAAAACCUACUUCGUCCUUUGCCUUGUCUUAACUUCUUCAUCCUGUGGAAUCUGCCUGCCAUGGAUUUAAAGAUGAAAUGCAUCAUGCAAUGACCAACAGCUGUUUCUGGUUUUGCACUCCAGGAAAGGGAACGUUCAACAUGUGAAAGAAUAUGGUCUUUUAUUUAUAUGGCAGUGCACUGUUGUUUUUAUCAGAAUAUCAGCAUGCAUAUCCCCGGAGUAAGUGAUGACCAGACAAUCACAUGAAAUCUGUAAUCUUCUUUAUCACUAUUCUAAGCCCCGGCCAGCGCGAUCCGACGCGGUGGCUGCUACUAUGGCAACCCGACGUGUGGACACGUGACGUCAUCUGUAGCGGAACCCGGAAGUCCAGGGAGCGCGGCGGAGAUGGAGUGGCCGGAGGCGUCCUUCCUCACUACACUGGUGGGUCUUCCUACACUAUUUAAGGUUACCAAAAUGUAUCAAGAUCCACUAGAGGGCAGGGCAGCUUCAACAGCUGAAUCUUUCUAGGCUUACAAAUUGAUGGUGACAACAGCACAGGCAAGAAUCCUGGCCAAACAACAAGGAUUUCAGCUCUUUUCAAAGCUUUAUGCAGCUAGAUGAAUUGAUGUAUAAAUAUCUCAGGUUCCUAACAGAAACACAAGGCACCAAUCUGCAAUCAAGCAAUAUCUUAUGGAAUAAAUCACCAAUAUCUUAUGGGAUAUUAAAAUCUUAAUAUAUCAAUCACCAAUCUUCAAUCAAUAUCGUAUGGAAUACUGUAGAUCCCCCAAAAUAUAUUAGUGGUUUAUGUGUAGUUAUCACUAGAAAUUGACAUGUAAAGAUUACAUUUGCAUUCAUCUCUUAAUUGUUUACAUGUGUUUUACAAGUUAUUCAGCGUCAUUUAUUUUAAAUGUUGCACUUCACAGAUACAUAUGAUGCUGCAAAUAUGUUCCAGCAUCGACCUGCUCCGUAUAAUAUUGACAGGCACUUCUGCUGUGUCACAAUCUGCUUAGUAUAAUAUUUAUUUUAUUCAUUGAUUUUUAUGUAGUGCAUGCAAUUUUAUGCAGUGAUGUAUAGUUUCCCUGCCCAGUAGAGCUAGAAUGAGAUACUGGAGACACAGGGCCUAAUUCAGAUCUGAUGGAA